GCGGUCUGUCAAGUCGGAUGUGAAAUCCCCGGGCUCAACCUGGGAACUGCAUUCGAAACUGGCAGGCUAGAGUCUUGUAGAGGGGGGUAGAAUUCCAGGUGUAGCGGUGAAAUGCGUAGAGAUCUGGAGGAAUACCGGUGGCGAAGGCGGCCCCCUGGACAAAGACUGACGCUCAGGUGCGAAAGCGUGGGGAGCAAACAGGAUUAGAUACCCUGGUAGUCCACGCCGUAAACGAUGUCGAUUUGGAGGUUGUGCCCUUGAGGCGUGGCUUCCGGAGCUAACGCGUUAAAUCGACCGCCUGGGGAGUACGGCCGCAAGGUUAAAACUCAAAUGAAUUGACGGGGGCCCGCACAAGCGGUGGAGCAUGUGGUUUAAUUCGAUGCAACGCGAAGAACCUUACCUGGUCUUGACAUCCACAGAACUUUCCAGAGAUGGAUUGGUGCCUUCGGGAACUGUGAGACAGGUGCUGCAUGGCUGUCGUCAGCUCGUGUUGUGAAAUGUUGGGUUAAGUCCCGCAACGAGCGCAACCCUUAUCCUUUGUUGCCAGCGGUUCGGCCGGGAACUCAAAGGAGACUGCCAGUGAUAAACUGGAGGAAGGUGGGGAUGACGUCAAGUCAUCAUGGCCCUUACGACCAGGGCUACACACGUGCUACAAUGGCAUAUACAAAGAGAAGCGACCUCGCGAGAGCAAGCGGACCUCAUAAAGUAUGUCGUAGUCCGGAUUGGAGUCUGCAACUCGACUCCAUGAAGUCGGAAUCGCUAGUAAUCGUAGAUCAGAAUGCUACGGUGAAUACGUUCCCGGGCCUUGUACACACCGCCCGUCACACCAUGGGAGUGGGUUGCAAAAGAAGUAGGUAGCUUAACCUUCGGGAGGGCGCUUACCACUUUGUGAUUCAUGACUGGGGUGAAGUCGUAACAAGGUAACCGUAGGGGAACCUGCGGUUGGAUCACCUCCUU
rnacentral:rRNA from 1 species